rnacentral:lncRNA from 1 species
UAUUAGAAUGCAGUCAGUAUUUUGGCAGACAUUUUAAGGGUGUUUUAAAAUGAAAUAAUUAGAGAUGACAGUCUUAGAAGUAGCUGUUGUUUAUAAAUGUACUUCAGGGGGCUUUUCUAUUACCACUUUUUAUCUCCCUGACACCUGGUACAUUCAUUACACCCUUCUGGCACUCACUAAGCUGGGCAGGUUCUGAGCUGGCCUGGCCUACUUCUCAACCGACUUCCCAGCCAUGUGUCCUGUUGCCUUCAUCUUGGUCUCACGCUGACCUCCUUCUUCAUCUGUGUCAUCAUGGGACUCCUCAGCUCACCUGAGACUCUCUUUCUCUCUCAAGGCAUGGAAGUCCCAUAUCUUUCCUGCCCAGCUAAGAGGCUGAUCAGCUCUUUAUUGACCAAUCAGGAGAUGAUGGAGAACAGUGGUUCACAAAGUACUGAGCCAGAAAAGGCCCCUAUUUUUUCUCGACCCCACUCGGCUCAGCCUGAGUUUUACAUACUAGGAAGUUUAGCGUUGCUUUGCAGCCUUUUCCUUUCACCUUUCUCUUAUGGAACUAUACUUACCUAUUAAUACUUAACAGUAAUAAAAUUGGAAGUGAGGCAACUAUAUGUCACUUUUAGGCUGAUUAUUACUUCAGUCAUUCUUAGCUAGUUAAAUAUCUUACUUUUCUACAUCCUUGUUUCCCAUUUUUUUAUUUCCUGCUUGUCUCAUUAGCUUGUGAUUAAUGUAUGGUUUUUAGUCUUUUCUAGAUAAUCGAAGUAGAACAUAAAAAAGGACUUCUGAAUUUUUUCAUUCACUUUCUGUUUGACUGUGCUUGUCACGGGCACAAAUACUUCCCUAACUACCUAUGUAUAUGUCAAAUAACAUAACUAAAAAUUUUAACCAUGCAAUUAUUCUUUUAGUCCAUAAGAAUAUGGAGUUACUCCUUUUUCCUACUUGUAUGUUAGACACCAUUGUUAAUAGUUCAGAAGCUAAAAGAGACUGUUCACAAUUCUUGUCCAGUAUAGUCUUCAGCAUUUACUAGCAGUGCUUUAAUUUUUUUAAAAAAGAGUUAGUAUACAAAGUAAUGGGUUUUGUUAUGGCAAUUUUAUACGUAUAUGCCCAUAUACUGCAUUUUAAUUUAGCUCUUUUCUCCACUGCUCUUCCUUGUGCUCUCUGUCCCUCCACUCUCACUGGUUCCCUUCCAGGCCAGUGGUCUGCUCUUCCGCUUCAGGGCACAGUAUUUCAUUGACCUCUCUUCCCCCUCCCUUAAGAUCUUUUCUUCUCCUUUUAUGAUUUCAUUUCUAGUUUCACACCUCUAUCUCUGUGUCUCUCUGACUAUCUCUCUGUCUGUGUCUGUCUGUCUUUCUCUCAAAAUAUUCAAAUCUAUUUUCUUGAUCUGAGAGAAAAUAUGCUAUAUGUCUUUUGAGUCUGGCCUAUACUGUGUAACAUAAUGGAAGUCAUUCCUUUUAAAAUUAGAGCCUUUAUAAUCUGUUACUUGCCUAACUUUCUGGCCCCUUCACUUGUACUUCCCAUUGCUAGUGCCAGCCAGCUCUAUAUAAUUGUAGUUCCUUAAACAUACUCAGUUUUCUCUUCUGUGCCUUUAGAGUGCCCUUUACUUGGACUGUUAUUCUGCUGUUCCUGGCUCCCUUUCUUGUCAUCUGACAGCUGUUUCAAGCCUGUUUGGUUGUUAUUGACUGGAGUCAUUUCAUGAUGACUCCUCACUUUCUGUGCUCCCAUAGUGUCCCCAUUGUUGCCUUUAAAAUUAUACUGUAUUGUUUGUCACCUUAUGUGACUGUAAGCUCGAUGGGAACACAAAUGGAGUCUUUCAUCUCUCCCUGCAUUGGACAGAACACUCAGUGUUCAAAUGGAAGCAGGAAAAGAAACUGAACUUGAGUGUCUUUCAUGUGCCAGGAAAGUUAAGCUUAGGUAUCUAGAUACAAUAAAUUACGUUAAGUUGUCCCAAUAACUUUCUAAAACAUAUGAUUGUUCCAUAUAUUAUUAUUAUUAUAUAUUAUUAUAAUCUGAAGUUAAGUAGUUUGUCUAGUAGUUAAGUGCUAGAACUGGGGCAUAAGAAAAGACACAUUUUGACUCCAUAAUUUCUGGUAUGUCAUUUCGGUCAUACUGCUUUCUUAACUGUAUAGAUGUGUUAAUGGAGAUGAUGAGGUAUAGUGGUUUAAAGACCAUCUAUAUAGUCAUAAUGCAAAUAUGAGUUUAAAUUUGAACUUUACAUUUAACAAUUUUCAGAAUCUUAAUCUCUAUAAACCAAGUUUUCUCUUUAAUUAUGAUUGAUAGCGUUAUUUACCUCAUAGGAUUGCUGUUAGAAUUAAAUAAAAGAAUACAUGAGGACAGUUUUAUGCUGUGUUGGGUACAUAACACAUAUGAGUGAAUUGUAUCAGGUAAGGAUAUUUAUAAACAGCUUAUUGACUAGCACUAACUUAAGCAAAAUAAUAAGUAGUAAUAAUAAAAAGUUUUGAGGUAGUCUUCAGUGAGUAACCUCUUUCACAUUAUUGUAGGGUACCUGUGAAGUUGCAAGUGUUAGCCUACAGCUGGAAUCAAUGAGAAAGAAGGAAGAGUAGGUAUCAGCCAUGUCUCUAUAUCUUACUAGAAGGGAAAAAAGCCUUUUAAAGUUCACAUUAUAUCUCAGUUCUGAAGUUGGUUUUGUGGAACACUGUAGUCAUUUCAUUGUUCUCCUAAUUAUCUAAACUUUAAUGAAAAAGAUCAAGAAAGUGGAACAUAUGUUUGAGAUUAGAUCAUCUUUCUUCUCGGGGGAGAGCUCAUGGCUCCCUCACCUAAAGUUAAGGAAAGUAUCUUCCUCAGUGACUGAUGGUGGGGUUUUGUAAUGAAACAGCCCAAAAAACUGUUAUACAGUGUGUUUAUUCAUAAUUUGAAGCAGUAAAAGGGCAUUAUGCAUUGUUUCAAUUCAUAUCAAGGAAAAUCUAAGAGUAAAUUAACUGUGUUCCUAUAUAAUAUUUAGGUAUUAACAUAUUUUUACCACCAAGUGUGAGGACCAGAGUUAGGUCCUCAGAACUCAUGGAAAGCAGGGAUGUACUGGUAGCAUAAGUCUGUGUCUCAGGGCACCUAUGUCAAGAGGGGAAUGAGAAACAUGAGGAUCACUGGAGGCUCAGGUUAGCCUACCUGGUGUAUGCAUCUGUGAUCAACAAGACAUCCUACCUUCAGACAGGAUGGAAGUCAAGAAUUGACACCUGAGGUUGUCUUUUGAUCUCCACAUGAAAUGCUUAAGUGCCUGUGCACCUGUUACCUCCAAACCCCUUCUCACAUU